rnacentral:rRNA from 1 species
UGGCCGUAAACGAUGUGGACUUGGUGUUGGAGGUCCUUAGUGGGCGCCCAGUGCCGGAGAGAAGUUGUUAAGCCUGCUGCUUGGGGAGUAUGUCCGCAAGGAUGAAACUUAAAGGAAUUGGCGGGGGGAGCACCGCAACGGGAGGAGCGUGCGGUUCAAUUGGAUUCAACGCCGAAAAACUCACCAGGAGCGACGGAUAUAUGAAGGUCAAGCUGAUGACUUUACCUGAUUUUCCGAGAGGAGGUGCAUGGCGUAGUCGUGU